rnacentral:rRNA from 1 species
UACGUAGGGACCAAGCGUUGUUCGGAUUUACUGGGCGUAAAGGGCGCGUAGGCGGCUUAACAAGUCACUUGUGAAAUCUCCGGGCUUAACUCGGAACGGCCAAGUGAAACUGACAUGCUAGAGUGCAGAAGGGGCAAUCGGAAUUCUUGGUGUAGCGGUGAAAUGCGUAGAUAUCAAGAGGAACACCUGAGGUGAAGACGGGUUGCUGGUCCGGUACUGACGCUGAGGUGCGAAAGCGUGGGGAGCAAACAGG